AUUAUUUGUUAUAAUAUUAAAAUGAAAUAUUUGCUACAUUAUAAUACAGUAGAAUGAUCUAACUGAACUUAAUCGAAGCAUACAAACCUGAAGUGUGUGCUGAAUAAAUCCAACCUGAACUAUUCUAAUAGCAUGCAUCCGUGAGUAUAUGUAGGUUUAGUUUGUCACUAUAAAAAAUACGGAUUUAUAUAUUUCGUAAU